CUAAACCCUACAAGAAUAUUUUCAAAAAAUUUCAUCAUACAAUUUGUGAUGAGCUGAUAGGCACUAAUCAGUCCAAGUCUUUUAAAGGUUGGUAGGAAUUGUUGCAACGUGAGGACAACGGAACAAAGGUCAGGUGGUUUAUUGUUUUGGGGUGUCUUUUAUACCUUUAUAAAACUGAAUGUAGGCAGUUAAGGUCGAACACGUGGGCAAUAAAGCGUGGAUUGUAUCAAACAAGUAAAAGGCAAGU
rnacentral:sRNA from 12 species